UGGGGAAAAUUCAAGAUGGCGUCUCUUUAUUUCGUUUAGCAGUGGCAUAGAACGUGGAGUUAACAGAGUUUAGUGAGCGCUGGUCAUCGCAUCACAUCACAUCAUGCGCAGUAUUAGCUGCCUACCAGAAAUAAGAAAGUCCUACGCCCUGAUAAAUAGGCUACUCUACGCAAGGAACACAGACGCCAACUCAGAUUCAGGACAUAUGCGAGCUCUUUACUUACAAACAAUACAUCCGUUUACCGGCUUCUUUUUGCCCUGCCUACGGUUAUAUACUGCUAAUUCACAAGAUGGCAGCCUAUGCUAAUGCUUUCUAUUUUUUUCUAAAGCAGUUUAUAUGGGAAUUAUUACUUUUUCGUGUGUAGUUGUUUGUUAAAGAUCAUUUACCAUUAGCAGCUCUAACAUAUGCACGUGGAAUGGCGCCAGACGUUUGCGUCUCGUUACAAAGUUUGGAGUAGCCUACGCAUUUUGCUACAAAAGAACGGAGAAAUACCCCUUGCAUUGCUCGUUGAGUAGGCUAGUUGUACGCGUUUCUUGUGUAGAGUAACAGGCCUAAAGCGUCUCGAAAUGUCGAUUGGAUGAAUUUUGAGAAAUCUGUCACGAAGUUGAGGCUCUUAAAGAUAUAGUAAGACUGAUUUGAUCUGGCUAUUGACUGCACAUUACAAAAUGAAGACGCAACUUUACUGCCUCCAGUCUGCUUUCAAAAACCAAGGCAGAAAAGUAAUUUUGUUGGAGGAUUGCAAUGCCAGCUCCACUGCUACAGCGGAUACGGAAUUACUUUAGUCUCCAAAGUGCCUGAAUAGAAGGCCUCAAGAUGGAUCCACAUGCACAGCAUCUGACGGCCUUGUACAACAGAAGGUAGACAACAACUGGAAAGAUAACAGAAAGAUAACAGAAGCUGUGACAUCACAAGACCAGCAGGGUAUUCUUGUUGUAUAUAUUGCUACAUCUAAGGAGAAACCAGACAAAGAUGAUGCAGCUGUUGCCUGUUGACCUGCUUUCAGCUGUGGAGGAGGACUGUUACAAAAAUGCCAUCUAGGUGUGAGUUGGUGGUCAAUCUCUAGUGCUACAAAUGCAGUGCAGAUGGUUACUAUGGCUACUUGGAGGCCAUUUGGAUUUGGAUUGGAUUUGCCCUGUACCUUCCUCAGAGAAGUAGAUUUUUUUUUUUUUUUUGAAGGAAAAAAAUGGAUUUAGUUUUUAAACCCAGUUGUUGUUUUUUUGCCAUAACCGUUUACUUCUGGGGACAUAAAAGGCUGAAGUAUACGUUGACUAACUCAAGUUAGUGAAGAAAUGUCAAGUUUAAUUAUGUCAUAUUUCCUAGGUUAUUUGCAUGGUGAGUGGGAAGAGUGUAACAUCUAAUUAUUUUACGGUGUUUGUGUAAUCGAGAGGGAAUAUGAUGUAGAAGUAAUCUAAACUAGAAACUGAAGUCUGAGGAGUCCAACCCAAAAAGACUGCUUAGAUUAUUUUUUCACGGGUAUCCACAAGUCUUUUGAGGCAAAAUUCAGGUCUGUUAGUAAAAAUUAGUCAUUGAAUUGUACUCUUGAGAUGCCUGUGUGUGGCUGAAUGUAUUGAGUAAAUUAAGGGAAUUCCCAUUCUGACACCCUUUCCUCUCAGUGGUCUGCACUGUAGAGCUUUUCCACCGAUUGACAUGUUAGCCACAGCAGUACCUGCAGCAGCAUCCCUUAGGAAGAUAUUUAAAUUGGAGCUGCACACGCUUCAGAUGCACUAGACCGGUCAACGGGUCCCUGGCGGUGGAAAAACCGCGUUUCACAGAUGGGUCCCUCAUGCGGGAGCGAGCCAGGACCCCUUACCCAGAACAUUAAAACAUGCACCGGAGAUGGGGUAGGGGGGUGAUAAAAUGCAUCUGCACCAUUCCCAGACCCCUGGACAAUUCACUGAAGUAACGAUGGAGGUGGCGGGUUAUGUGCCUUUUGUGUGGCUGCACAUCAGAUCCUGUUGGGCUGUUUAUCUAGCAUUCUUUGGCUGUAUCAAGGGGGAGCGCUCUGUGAAUGGUGAAUGCCCCCCCUGGAGUACCUGGGGGAAACCCACGCAAGCACAGGGAGAAACAUGCAAACUCCGCAGAGAAAGGCCCUGUCUGGGAUGUGAAUCCAGGAACUUCUUGCUAUGAAGUGACAGAGUGCUAUCCACUGCUCCACCAUGCAGAGUUUUCUUUUUUUGACCAUGUUUGCGCGAGCGAGUACGUCACAACUCUAUCAAUUCGUGUGGCAUCUAGAAUCCUGCUUUCCCUGACUUUAUCAUCCAGUAUAAUAAGGUGUCCAUGUGGACCUUCCUGGCGGUUGACUCUUGUAGGCUGUAAAUCCGCCGCCGCUGGACAGCAGGGUUACUGCCCUCCCCACGCACAUUGACACAGGAAGUCGUAACCCGCUGCCUGGCUGUGCACCCCUCGACCGGCCAAUAAAUCGCAGGAGAGGGUCCGCCCCUCGUUUGCGAUCACCUGCUCGGCCUGCCCGCUCAGCUUUAAUUAAGACUGAGCGAGGGGGGGGGGGGGGUGGAGGUGGACGGGACGUGGGGGCGUAACGAGAUCCCCGGCUAAUCAGUGACUUAUCUGGCUGAUCGGCACACGGGGGAGAGCAACUGAGACGGUGCUGAGGUCACGCCGCGAAAAGGCUCUGGAAGUGGAACCGCGGGACGGCCUUUCCGCUCGUUAAAAGCCACGGUCGAAUGCCUACGAGAAGCCGUCCGGCCACGGAGGCCGGGGUGAUCAGAGUCCUCCUAACGGUGAAUCCGAAAGUCAGCACUGGGGCCGGCCGACUGGUACAGGAGAAUAUUCCUGAGAUGUCCUGCAUACAGCUCAAUACUCCCAAGUGAAAUUUAUCUGCUGCACAGCACAGAUACAGACCUGCCCGGUUGACCAUAUAACUGCAUGGGGUGUCCUCCUUUUUGUACUUUAUUUAUAGCAUUGAAUCCACAAGGACAGUAUAAUGAUCAACGUAUCCACAUUAGUGUCACUGUAAAUGUGUUCAAUUUCCACAUGUUGUCCCUGUGUAGACUACAACAGAUAAAAGGACAGAUAAUGUAUAAUCAAAUCGAGGGGGAGGGGGAUAGGUAACAUAUUCUGAAUGUCAUAUUUUUUCCAUACAUAUUUCAUGUUUUAACCAAGAACAGGUCUAGCAAUUCGUGCAAGCAUUUUUGGGUGUGUGAUUGGUGAAAUGGUUUGCUGUUGCUGAUUUUAUUUGCGUUUCUGCUUGCAGAUUGUGUGGGAAAGCCAACCCUAAUUUGGCACACCUGAAUCUACUAAUUAGCAGCUCAACAAGAUAUCUAGCUGUUGAAUGAGGUGUGCUUUAUUAGGGUUGGAGUGAAAACAUACAGGAUGGUAGAUCCCCAGGAACAGAGCUGGUUACCACUGGCAUAGACACACACUCUUCUCUGCAUUCCUUUCUGUAUUUCAUUGAACUCACUGGCCUACUCCUUUGCUGGAGAGUGCUGUCUUUCACAUUGUCCUACAAGUUUCACUGUGUCAUUGAAAGAUGUGACAAACUAACGAUUUUCCAAAAUGUGCAGAAAGAUCACCGCAGUUAUUAAAACACACAAUGUGCAAAAGUCCAAAUGUCCAUUAUACUUUUUAUUUUUUGGUGGCUUUUGCAUAUGACAUACUUAGAUCAUAGAUGAGAAGUUAUCUUACGUUGAUACAUUUUAUUACAGGAGCAGAAGUACUCAAAUACAUUUGUAUGAAUAGGAAAGGUUUUACUUCAGAGCGACACCUGUGACUCCUCACUGUCUGGGUCCUAUAAGCUCACAUGACAAUUCAGGGCUGCAAUAUAUCCUAUACAUCAUAUAGCUACAGUAUGUCUUACAAAUCACAUAUACUUCUAUAUAUAUUGAAUAUUUCAAUAUAUCAACACGUUGAUUCCCUUUAACUGGAGCACACACAGAACACACCCAGCUCAGAGAUCCCUGAGGUGCAUUGCCAUUUUAGGCCAGCUGGAUCUUCUCCUC